GCCGGAGUAGCUUAGUUGGUAAAGCAACCGAUUCGUAAUCGGUAGACCGCGAGUUCGAAUCUCGCCUCCGGCU
rnacentral:tRNA from 1 species